AAACGUCUCAGUUCGGAUUGUAGUCUGCAACUCGACUACAUGAAGCUGGAAUCGCUAGUAAUCGCAGAUCAGAAUGCUGCGGUGAAUACGUUCCCGGGUCUUGUACACACCGCCCGUCACACCAUGGAAGUCUGCAAUGCCCGAAGCCGGUGGCCUAACCACUUAUGUGGAAGGAGCCGUCUAAGGCAGGGCAGAUGACUGGGGUGAAGUCGUAACAAGGUAGC
rnacentral:rRNA from 1 species